UACAGAGGGUGCAAGCGUUAAUCGGAAUUACUGGGCGUAAAGCGCGCGUAGUCGGUUCUUUAAGUCGGAUGUGAAAUCCCCGGGCUCAACCUGGGAAUUGCAUUCGAUACUGGAUAGCUAGAGUUCGGCAGAGGGAAGCGGAAUUUCUGGUGUAGCGGUGAAAUGCGUAGAUAUCAGAAGGAACAUCAGUGGCGAAAGCGGCUUCCUGGACCAGAACUGACGAUCAGGCGCGAAAGCGUGGGGAGCAAACAGG
rnacentral:rRNA from 1 species